UACGGAGGGUGCGAGCGUUAUCCGGAAUUACUGGGUUUAAAGGGUGCGUAGGCGGCGUAGUAAGUCAGGAGUGAAAGUUUGCGGCUCAACCGUAAAAUUGCUUUUGAUACUGCUAUGCUAGAAUUAGGAUGAGGUCAGCGGAAUAUGUCAUGUAGCGGUGAAAUGCUUAGAUAUGACAUAGAACACCAAUUGCGAAGGCAGCUGGCUACACAAAUAUUGACACUGAGGCACGAAAGCGUGGGGAUCAAACAGG
rnacentral:rRNA from 1 species